GUUUGGAUUACAUUUCGAAACGAUUUUUUUUUUUUUUUACUAUCUUUUAUUUUGUUAUUGUUUUUGCUAGAUCUAAAUUUGUUUUAAUUUUUGUUUUUGUGGUGGUUGCUUGGAUCCGGAUGAAUUAAUGAAUAAACCGAACAAAACUAGUCUCGAUUCAGACUAUUCACAGAAGAAGAAAGGAAAAAUAAAAUCCUAUGGCCUUGAAGGUUUUAAAAAUAAGGGAAUUCGGUUAAAACAAAUGCACUGACAAUUUUACAUAUUUAUUUAUUUUUGAUUUUUAAUGACUUUUUAUAGAAAGUAUAUCGGCCAAAAUCAAGACAAGAAAUUUAAACUUCAUAUUUUUUUUAUCUAUUUUUCUAAAGCAAAAUCAUUUUUAAAACUUAAUCUUUUUUUUGUACAAAUUAUUAACAAUCUGAUUAAAUACUAUAUUAUACUCAAUUUAUGAAAGAGUUAAAACAAAGCUUAUAUCACAUUUAAUUAUUUUUAUACAUGUCAAUUUUUGUUUCCAAUGUUUAUUAGCCUCAUAAACCUUGAAAUUGAACUGUUCGGAAUAAUUUUUAACUCCAAAAUUAUUCCUUUCGGUCUUUCAUAAAUUAAAGUACAUAUAUAAAAAAAAUUAAUAAAAUAAUAGAUCUUAUAAAUGCUUAAUUAAAAGUAAAAGUUGUAUGUUUAUACCUUAGCUAUUUUUCUUGUAAUUGUUGAUUCCACCUUCUUUAAAAAUAAAGAAACUUAUUUUUAUUUUAUAUACUAAGAAGAAAAUUUGUUUUCUAAUUUUUUUGUGACAGCGUUAUUUUUUCCUGUUUUGUUCCUCCCCCUCCUCAAAGGCAUUGGGACCUCUCUUUUAUAGGCUAGAGCAAUGGCAUUUAUGUAAAUAAAGAAAACACGAUUUAUUAUGUGCAAUUGUGAUUAAUUCUGUCUAAUUGUGUUUGAUUAGACAUAAAUUGGAUUAAACAUGUAUUACAAUCA